rnacentral:ncRNA from 1 species
AUAGGAACAGGUGAUGGAGUUCGCCUUUAACCGCUGGACAGCUGAUAACUCCUACAGAUCG